rnacentral:rRNA from 1 species
GACAGAGGUGCCGAGCGUUAGGCGGAAUCACUGGGCUUAAAGCGUGUGUAGGCGGGCCGUUAAGUGCCUUGUGAAAUCCCCCCGGCUCAACCCGGGGAACGGCUGGGCAUACUGGCGGCCUUGAGUCACUCAGGGGUCAGCGGAACAACGGUGGAGCGGUGAAUGACGUAGAUAUCGUUUGGAACGCCGACGGCGAAAGCAGCUGACUGGGAGUGAUCUGACGCUGAGACACGAAAGCCAGGGAGC